UACGUAGGUGGCAAGCGUUGUCCGGAUUUAUUGGGCGUAAAGCGCGCGCAGGCGGUUCUUUAAGUCUGAUGUGAAAUCUUGCGGCUUAACCGCAAGCGGUCAUUGGAAACUGGGGAACUUGAGUACAGAAGAGGAAAGUGGAAUUCCACGUGUAGCGGUGAAAUGCGUAGAGAUGUGGAGGAACACCAGUGGCGAAGGCUACUUUCUGGUCUGUAACUGACGCUGAGGCGCGAAAGCGUGGGGAGCAAACAGG
rnacentral:rRNA from 1 species